rnacentral:rRNA from 1 species
UCCUGGCUCAGGACGAACGCUGGCGGCGUGCCUAAUACAUGCAAGUCGAGCGGACCUCUUUUGAGGUCAGCGGCGGACGGGUGAGGAACACGUGGGUAAUCUGCCUUUCAGACCGGAAUAACGCCCGGAAACGGGCGCUAAUGCCGGAUACGCCCGCGAGGAGGCAUCUUCUUGCGGGGAAAGGCCCAAAUGGGCCGCUGAGAGAGGAGCCCGCGGCGCAUUAGCUGGUUGGCGGGGUAACGGCCCACCAAGGCGACGAUGCGUAGCCGACCUGAGAGGGUGACCGGCCACACUGGGACUGAGACACGGCCCAGACUCCUACGGGAGGCAGCAGUAGGGAAUCUUCCGCAAUGGGCGCAAGCCUGACGGAGCAACGCCGCGUGAGCGAAGAAGGCCUUCGGGUUGUAAAGCUCUGUUGCUCGGGGAGAGCGGCAUGGGGAGUGGAAAGCCCCAUGCGAGACGGUACCGAGUGAGG